rnacentral:rRNA from 1 species
GACGAACGCUGGCGGCGUGCCUAAUACAUGCAAGUAGAACGCAGUUGCGAACUGGUGAGUAACGCGUAGGUACCUGCCUCAUAGCGGGGGAUAACUAUUGGAAACGAUAGCUAAUACCGCAUACUGUGAGCUGGACCUGCGUUGUAUUGGCUAGUUGGUGAGGUAAAGGCGCACCAAGGCGACGAUACAUAGCCGGCCUGAGGGGGUGAGCGGCCAAACGGGGACUGAGAGACGGCCCAGACUCCCACGGGAGUCAGCAGUAGGGAAUCUGCGGAAAUGGACGGAGGUCUGACCGAGCAACGCCGCGUGAGUGAGGAAGGUUUUCGGAUCGUAAAGCUCUGUUGUUAGAGAAGCGGUAACUAACGAGAAAGGGACGGCUAACUACGUGCCAGCAGCCGCGGUAAUUC